rnacentral:rRNA from 1 species
UACGUAGGGAGCAAGCGUUGUCCGGAAUCAUUGGGCGUAAAGCGCGCGUAGGCGGCCCUGUAAGUCCGUUGUGAAAGUCAAAGGCUCAACCUUUGAAAGCCGAUGGAUACUGCAGGGCUAGAGUACGGAAGAGGCGAGUGGAAUUCCUGGUGUAGCGGUGGAAUGCGCAGAUAUUAGGAGGAACACCAAUAGCGAAGGCAGCUCGCUGGGACGUAACUGACGCUGAGACGCGAAAGCGUGGGGAGCAAACGGG